AAUGACACUGGUUAUCUUUUCCAUCG
rnacentral:ncRNA from 2 species